rnacentral:rRNA from 1 species
GACGAGUGGCGGACGGGUGAGUAAUGUCUGGGAAACUGCCUGAUGGAGAGGGAUAACUACUGGAAACGGUAGCUAAUACCGCAUAACGUCGCAAGACCAAAGAGGGGGACCUUCGGGCCUCUUGCCAUCGGAUGUGCCCAGAUGGGAUUAGCUAGUAGGUGGGGUAACGGCUCACCUAGGCGACGAUCCCUAGCUGGUCUGAGAGGAUGACCAGCCACACUGGAACUGAGACACGGUCCAGACUCCUACGGGAGGCAGCAGUGGGGAAUAUUGCACAAUGGGCGCAAGCCUGAUGCAGCCAUGCCGCGUGUAUGAAGAAGGCCUUCGGGUUGUAAAGUACUUUCAGCGGGGAGGAAGGCGACAAGGUUAAUAACCUUGUCGAUUGACGUUACCCGCAGAAGAAGCACCGGCUAACUCCGUGCCAGCAGCCGCGGUAAUACGGAGGGUGCAAGCGUUAAUCGGAAUUACUGGGCGUAAAGCGCACGCAGGCGGUCUGUCAAGUCGGAUGUGAAAUCCCCGGGCUCAACCUGGGAACUGCAUUCGAAACUGGCAGGCUAGAGUCUUGUAGAGGGGGGUAGAAUUCCAGGUGUAGCGGUGAAAUGCGUAGAGAUCUGGAGGAAUACCGGUGGCGAAGGCGGCCCCCUGGACAAAGACUGACGCUCAGGUGCGAAAGCGUGGGAGCAAACAGGAUUAGAUACCCUGGUAGUCCACGCCGUAAACGAUGUCGACUUGGAGGUUGUGCCCUUGAGGCGUGGCUUCCGGAGCUAACGCGUUAAGUCGACCGCCUGGGGAGUACGGCC